rnacentral:misc_RNA from 1 species
CGAUCGCACGACGCGCACAUGGCGAACUCGCGCUCUCGCUCUCCCUCUGUCUUUCUGUGAUCCUCUUGCCCGGGCUUCCUUCUCCGGCUCCGCAAGUGCGUUGUAGAGGUGGUACUAUGUCUGCCAGCGCUGAUGGCGCCCAGCCCGUCGUCACGGCGCGGCAGUUCCGGCUUCGCGGCGGUCACGACACCAACAGCAGCGACAGCGAGGAGGAAAGGGGCGGGGUGGCCUCGAGGUUGCGUGGUGGCGCGAGUGCAGCUGCGACGGCGGCGACUCGUUCUACGGAUGCGCCGCAGGUGACGUUGUUGUCGACCGCUGCGGACGCCACCCCCGCAUCACUGCCUCCACGGGCGGGGUCCUCGAGCUCGUUGGAGCUGUUUUCAUCAUCCUCGUCGAGGUCCUCGUCACCUGCUUGCUCUGAGCUGCCCCCAGGCCUCAUGAUGUCAACGGUAGCCACCACCGCGCCAAAGGACCUGUGGGGUGAGAGGCUGAGUGGCAGCAGUAGCAAUAACGGCAGGUUCAGCGACACUUAUCAACGGGGCCACCGCAUAGGUAAUCACGAGCGCGGCGACGGCGACACUGCGCAGACGAGACAGCAACUGCGGAGUGCUGGCUCGCCUGUGGGGGCAUUAGGGACGUCGACGAGGAUGCGUUCGGCGGUGGAAGAGGAAAGGCAGACCGUGCCAGGCGAAGCGCUUGCUGGUGAUGUUGCUGUGGUGGCAGAGGUCUCCUCAACGCCAUCGCCGACCGCCUCCGCCUCACUGGCACUUCGCACGGGUGCCGUGCAGCCGCGAUCGGCCGCGACAGGCUUCUUCAAAGGAAAAGAGGCGUCGCCACCCACAGCGAUCGAGGGCGCCGCCUUUACCACCUGUCCUAUCUUUUUGUCGGCUGGCUCUGCAGGCGGGAUGUCGCGGCCCGCGGCAUCGGCCACCGCCACGGCCGUGCCGAGUUCUCUUGGCUCGCCAACCACAACCGGUAUGGGGCCAAUCCGAACUGAUGCUGUCCCCACCGUCGAGGCCGCCGUUGCCCCAGUUUACACAGGCGGCCCCAGUGAAGUGGUACAAGAGUCUUCCCGGACGAGUGUUGGCUCCGUGACGUCACCGACGGAGGUCCGCAAGGCUCCUCUGGCGUCGCGGAGCUCAUCGUCUUCCUUGAAUGGUGAUCCUGUUCUUGCACCCGUGCAGAUUGCCAGUUCGACCAGCACCGGACGCCCUUCCGGGGGCGCGGCCACUGCCACGCCGGGUCUUUCCAUACGCAAACUCCCCGUGCCGUUCACCACCGCGGCGGAGGUGGACACGCCACCAUCUUCCUCGUCUUCGCGGCAGCCCCUACCAUCUACCACGCGGCCGCCUACUGCUGCCGCUGCCUCUGCGGCUGCUGGGCGGACUGCGACUCCAGCCGAAGCCUGCACUGCUCCGUCAUCCGCCUUCACCGCAGUGCCCGACGGCAGAAGCAGCGCUUUGGGUAGUGGCAGCCCUGUGCUGUCCGGCCCGGGCAGCGUCGUGUACAAUCGUGUGAGCGCGCAAGGUCGCGGCUCCGUGCCGUCCAGCGUCCUGGAGGCCCCGUCGCGGCCCAAGUGGUGCGCCCCGCCGGCCGAGCACACAGCAUCCCCCUCCCUUCCCGCUGCUGCGGCACAGUCAGCUGCUAUCUCAGCAGCGCCUCCCCCACUAACUGGGCCCGCUGUCUCGACGCAGGCUGCCCACGCAGCGGAGCCGACGCCAGCGGCGGCGCGUGCAAGUGUGUUCUCCACGUCGCAGCCUUUUGUAAACGUGCUUGCUCGACCGCACCGGCAAGCGCCCCGACUGCCGGGAGCGACUCACACGUCUGCUGUCCUCUCACUCAUCGAAGACGACGAUGAGCAGCCACGGUGUAGCUCCCCUUCGGUCUCGAGUGCCCCAUCAACAGAGGGGAACAAGGCAGAGACAGGGCAACCAAAGACCGUGAGUGUGCAGGGCCGCGGCCCCCCGUCGUCGCGCAUCGCGUCACCACCUUCGCCACCCACACGGCAUGCCGCUUCUUCCGCGGAGGGCGCGACGCCGCCUCUCCUGUCGCGGUCUGCCGUCGUGACCGCAGCUCAGCGGCAGCGGGAGGCGUCUUUGGUGAUCUACGAUGAUCGCGUGCCGCCGGCAAAGCGGCGGGCGAAGCGCCAGGCGCGGCCCAUGACUGGCCAACCGGCCGCGAUUGCCCUCGCAGACCCGAUGUCGGCGUGUGUGCUGCGCGGACUGCGGACGAACGUCCCGCAGGAUGGAAACAGGGAAGACCCACUGACGUGUCGUCCCAUCUUGCGCAUUGGUGGUAGUGGUGGUGCUGGAUGGCGCAAGAAUCCUGGCGAUUGGCUUUCUGAAAGGCCUCCGCUUGAUGGCAGAGCCGUCGAAGAUGACGGUUGUGAAGGCGUAGACGGCAGCGACAACGCUACUCGCGGUAGGCGUGAUCACUCCACUGCACUACACGGGUUCUCAGGUAUACCCACUGGACACGACCAAUAUCCUGGGCGAAGCACCGGCGAAGAUCGAUCAGCGAAGUUGACGCUGCAUUCCGCAAGCAACUACACUGCGCAGCGACUCUUCAGUGAGCCUCAGCCGCAGCACAAGGAGCGCGUCGAUUCCUACAUCUCCGGCACCGGUAACGGUGAAUCGGUGCCAUGUGUAGUGAUGCGCCUCAGACAGCAGGGCGCGCCGACAGUGAGUGACGUCAAAGCCACUCACGGGGACUUCAGUAGCGCGAGACUGUCGUCCUCAGUGCUCCCACCCGCUGCGGCAUCGAAACGGACCGCGGUGUCGCUUCUCACCGAUGAGUCCGUGAAUGUCGACUUGCUCAACUACCGCCGCUCUCGAAGAAAGCAGCAACAGCAGCGAUGACGUGGACGGCAGCCUUGCCUGCACUAGCACUGCGACGACCACUGUCGAGGUAGCGGUCAAUGCUCGCUCGACCUUACACUCGCGUCGUCACGUGUGCCUUGCCCACCCGCACGCGCGCGUUUUACGGCUCUACAGCUGAACGCAUCGUCUGUUGCAACUGAGAACUCAGAGUGCCGCCGUUCUGCGCGUCUGCGCAAGCGUCUCUCGCUUGUUCUCUCUGCGCGUGUGCCCCCAUCUCUCCCGCUACCGCCCCGACCAUCUUCUCUGCCAUCUCGAUCAUGACAGGUCUUGCUUUGUGGCUGUGCCCAGACUCUCUCC